rnacentral:rRNA from 1 species
GUGGCAGCCGCCGCGGUAAUACAGAGGGUGCAAGCGUUAAUCGGAAUUACUGGGCGUAAAGCGCGCGUAGGUGGUUUGUUAAGUUGGAUGUGAAAUCCCCGGGCUCAACCUGGGAACUGCAUUCAAAACUGACUGACUAGAGUAUGGUAGAGGGUGGUGGAAUUUCCUGUGUAGCGGUGAAAUGCGUAGAUAUGCGGAGGAACACCGAUGGCGAAGGCAAUCCCCUGGGCCUGCACUGACGCUCAUGCACGAAAGCGUGGGGAGCAAACAGGAUUAGAUACCCUGGUAGUCCACGCCCUAA